AUUGAACGCUGGCGGCAUGCCUUACACAUGCAAGUCGAACGGUAACAGGUCUUCGGAUGCUGACGAGUGGCGAACGGGUGAGUAAUACAUCGGAACGUGCCUAGUAGUGGGGGAUAACUACUCGAAAGAGUGGCUAAUACCGCAUGAGAUCUACGGAUGAAAGCAGGGGAUCGCAAGACCUUGUGCUACUAGAGCGGCCGAUGGCAGAUCAGGUAGUUGGUGGGAUAAAAGCUUACCAAGCCGACGAUCUGUAGCUGGUCUGAGAGGACGAUCAGGCAGACUGGGAGUGAGACACGGCCCAGACGCCUGCGGGAGGCAGCAGUGGGGAAUUUUGGGCAAUGGGCGAAAGCCUGAUUCAGCAAUGCCGCGUGCAGGAUGAAGGCCUUCGGGUUGUAAACUGCUUUUGUACGGAACGAAAAGCCCUGGGUUAAUACCCUGGGGUCAUGACGGUACCGUAAGAAUAAGCACCGGCUAACUACGUGCCAGCCGCCGCCGUAA
rnacentral:rRNA from 1 species